UGAAGUGUGCUUAGUGGACAAGCUGGG
rnacentral:piRNA from 1 species